rnacentral:rRNA from 1 species
CUCAGUUCAGAUUGCAGGCUGCAACCCGCCUGCAUGAAGUCGGAAUUGCUAGUAAUCGCGGAUCAGCAUGCCGCGGUGAAUACGUUCCCGGGCCUUGUACACACCGCCCGUCACACCAUGAGAGUCGGAAACACCCGAAGCCUGUAGUCCAACCGCAAGGAGGGCGCAGUCGAAGGUGGGUCUGAUAAUUGGGGUGAAGUCGUAACAAGGUAAC